ensembl:lncRNA
GACCCUGUGAUCAGGGAGAACAAAAGUUUUCUCACCCGACAAUCUGAUGAAUAGGUACUCAGACUGAUCUUGGAACCACUCAUGAGCCAAAGAAGAAAUUAUUUUGUAAUUAAUUAUUAAUAUCUACUCUCUUAGUCCAUUUCUAUAAAACAAAACAAAACAAAUAAACAAACAAACAAACAAAAUUCCAAAACACCACAGACUGGUAGCUGAUAACAACAGAAAUUUAUUUUUCACGGUUUUGGAGACUAAAGUCCAAGAUUAGGGAACAAGCCUUCUGAGGAGGACCCUCUUCCUGGUUCAUAACCAGUGCCAUCUCCCUGUGUCCUCAUAUGGUAGAAGGGGCUAGGAAGCUCUGUGGGGUCCAUUUCAUAAGGCACUGGGGGGCUCCAUCUGCAUGACCUAAUUACCUCCAAAGAUCCCACCUUCUAAUACCAUUACAUUGGGCAUUAGCAUUUUAACAUAUAAAUUGGUAGGGACACACAUUUUCAGGCCCUAGCAUGUACUUUUAGUUGAUAUUUGCCAUAUUUUUUCAAAACUACCUAAUUCCCAAGAAAAAAAUUAGCUCCAAAUCCUGCUAAAAGAUGAAUUGGGGGAGGUAAUGGUUCCAUUAAACUUGGAUUCAAUACUGUAAAUAUAAAUUUAGCCUGCAUUUUACCUUCUGAGUAAAAAAAGGGUAUAUAUACUUGCAGUUUGAGUGUGUGUGUGUGUGUGUGUGUAAGGAAUGGAGUCAGGUAGGAUGUGAGGAGAAGAAUGAUUUCCCACUAAUAGGAAAUCAUUAAGUACCUUCUCAGCAGAGAAGAGAAUUUAUAUAAAAUUGACUUGGAGGACAGAGAUUUCUCUUAGCAUAACCUCUUUGUAUUUAGAAAGUGCUAUUGACUUAGGGCAAAUAUUGGAAAAUACUUGGAAAAAAUAUUGGAAAGUAUACCAACUUGAAACCAGAGCCUUGGUUUCUAAUUUCAGUUAUGUCAUUAGUUAGGUGUGUGAACUUGUGUAAAUUACUUUUGUUCUCUGGACCUCUGCUUCUUUACCUGUCAAGUGAGCAAUUAGGACAACCUGGUCUCUGCAUUUCCUUUCAGCUCUAAUAACCUAUACUUCUUUGAUAGAGGCCAUUUGAUUAAGUGAAAAAACCAUGAGCAUAUAGCGUCAGGCCUUUGUGAUACAAACUUUCCCAAAAUGCUAAAUUGUAAUGAGGGCUGAAACUGUAUGUAUGAAACUCUCUCACUUACUUCAGGCUCCAGGAAUUCCCUUUUCUUCUGAUCUCAGAACAAUUAGCGUCUGGGUCAACCAUUUGGUAACCCAUCCAUCAUGUGGUAUCUCUUCCAUUUUGGUCUUUAGUAUUACCUAAAUAUUUUAUUAUUACUAGUAAUGAUAACAGUGGUGAUUAACCUAUCGCUGACUAUGUGCCAGGCACUGUGCUAGGUAAUUGUGUAUAAUCCUUCCAGCAGCAAAUGGAAGUAGGUAUUUCCUUGCUUGAAGGUUAGGGCCAUGCCAUAUUUUAUUAAAUACCCCCAUAGCACCAAGCACAGCACCUUGAACAUGGUAGAUGUUCAUUACCUACAUGUUUGAUUGACUGAAAUGUGGCAGUAGGUCCCUGCAUCUCCCUAUAAUGUAUGUAGUUAUUUGAUUUAUAAGAAAUUUCUGUCCCUGACUGUGGUCAGCUAUUGAAUUUAUGUUUGACAAGAAAACCAUAGAGUUUGGCAACUCUGCAGUGAUAGGUGAUGUGUGAUUCAUCUGGGGAAGAACAGACAUUUUCUAUUCAGACUUUGAAUUCCUGGGUCUUAUGGUUAGUUAAUCAUGUCUAUAGGAAUGCAUGACUGAGCAGACAGAUUCAAAGGUAGGAGUCUUUAAUCUCAAUUACCCUAUUGUGUGUUUCCAGAUAUCAUCUUGUCGCCCUGUGGUAAUAUUUUCUAUACCUACUGCUCAGAUAUAUGAGGUGAAUAGAGUCUGCUCUUUGUUCAUUUUAAGAGAAAUUCUAUAAUACAGGAAACAUAGUCCAAGCUGGACGUGGUAGGUAUCUAAGAUCCAGAACAUCAUGACCCUUCAAAGCAGCCAGGAAAUUCCCCCAAUAGUCACAUUUGCCAUGUCCCAAGGAGGCUGCCUGGGUUGGCACACAAUGGGAGACUCACGGGGACACACCCUUCUCAAAAGAGGCUCCAAGGAAGAAAUUAAAAAUGGUUCUGGAAGCUACUCAAUGACAGAGGUAGCAGAGUGAGAGCUGGUAGAAGUCACAGAGAGCCACCAUUUCAGCUGCUUCUCACUGGUCUUGCCCCCAGGAGGCUGGCACAGCAGUUCCUGCUUGAGGAACUACUCUUGGCCUCCUUAAAAUCCCCCAGGUUCCCAGUGGAUGUUCUUCUUCAUUCUCCCUCUGAAAUCACUGGAGUCUGGGCUGCGGUGGGGGCAGGGGAGUAAUAUGGUAGGUGUUGAACAUUCCCAGUUUCACCAGCAGGAGAAAUGCUCCCGUAAAUCCAUCAAAGAAGGCCCACCAAGUCCUUCAGAAAGAAGAGGCAGCCAGUGACAUGAAUACGAUUAUUGUAAUGGAGCAAAAUGUGUGACUCUCGGGGAUUCUGUUAAAUCCAGCCAAAGUGAAUGCUACAGUUAACCCAUUUCCCUGGGGAGCACUAACCCUGAAGCAGACUUAUUAAUUAGGGCUUCUGAGGGGUAUGGCAGAGGUGGGGAUGGGUGAGCUUUUUUAGUUACAGAGACAGAGCUCCAUUCUAAUCUGCUCCUGUCCAUGGGGGCAACUCCUGUAUCUUUUUUUUUUUUUUUUUUUAAACCAAACAGUUUGAACAUAGUGCUCACCAGAUCCCUGUGGUGCUAAAGAGCAUUUUCCAUUCAAAGAGAGCGGGAAAAAAAGUUUUUAAAAUGAAUCAGUAGGUGGAGCUCUUUCUUUCUUUCUUUCUUUUUCAAUCCCAGGUCCAAUUUUUAGUGAGGGACACAGAACUUUUGAAUAUAAAAAAAAAAAAAAAAA